rnacentral:lncRNA from 1 species
UUGGAGUGAGGUUGGUGAACAUAGAUUGAUGGGACCUGAAUUAGUUCGGUCUACUAAUGAGGCUAUUCAAAAGAUUAGAGCACGUAUGCAAACAGCGCAGAGUAGACAGAAGAGUUAUGCGGAUGUACGGCGAAAAGACCUUAAGUUCGAUUUGGGAGAAAAGGUAUUCUUGAAGGUAGCACCUAUGAAGGGUGUUAUGCGUUUUGAGAAGAAAGGGAAGUUAAGUCCUCGUUUUGUUGGACCAUUUGAGAUCUUAGAGAGGGUUGGUGUUGUGGCGUAUCGCUUGGCAUUACCACCAUCACUCUCUGCAGUUCAUAAUGUUUUCCAUGUUUCGAUAUUGAGGAAGUAUGUGGCCGAUACAUCUCAUGUAGUGGACUAUGAACCCUUGGAGAUUGAUGAGCAUUUGAGCUAUGUAGAACAACCUGUGGAGAUUCUGGCUAGAGAGGUAAAGAUGCUUUGUAAUAGAAGCAUUCCAUUUGUAAAGGUUUUGUGGCGGAAUCAUCGAAUUGAAGAGGCGACAUGGGAGCGAGAGGAAGAGAUGAGGACUCGUUAUCCAGAGUUAUUUCAGGAUUAGAACUUUCGAGGACGAAAGUUUCUUAAGGAGGGAAGAAUGUAACGCCCCAAACUUGAAGGUAAAUUAUUUUGAGAGAAUUAUUUCGAUUUGUUCAAGAUUUUUUUUUAAAUAUGUUGAAGGGGAGAAAGAAGAUUUGAAAAUGUAUUAAUAUAAUUAAAUAUAUAUGUAUUUAAUUAUAUUUUUAUUAUUAUAUUUAUUCUACAUUUUAUUAAAUAAAAGAAAAGAAAAUGAAAAUUUUAAAUAUAUAUAUAUUUAUAUAUUUUUUAUUAUAAUUAUUUUAUAUAUUUUUUUAAAUAAAAAGAAAAAGAAAAUGAAAAUUUCUUUUUUUCCCUUUUCUUCUUCCUCCCGUGCGCCGCGACCCUCCUUCCCCUUCUCUCCGUUCGUGCAGCAACCGCCCCAACCGUCCUCUUCUCCGUCCGUUCGUGCCCAGCUGCAGCCCAGCCGCAAUCACCACCUCUAUCUUCUUCUUCCCGUCCCGCCGCAGCCAACCGCAGCCAGCCGCCGAUCCUUUCCUUCCAUUUUCUUCUUCCGUCCGCAGCCCCGCCGCGAAGCAAGACCGCGCCGCUGCCAGUCCAGAUCUGCGGAGCCGUUGCUCUUCCGCCGCUGCCCAACCGUCUCAGCCGGUUCUAUCUCUGUCGAAGCCACGGUUCUGCAACCGUCUCAGCCGUCUCUAUCUCCGUCCGCGAGGCAAGUCGCACGCCUCAAUCACAAACAGCCUCGCCGACGCAGGUCACGCCGUAUCGCACGAAUUCGGCUACGUUGCCGGGCUACUCCCGUCCGCGCGUAACUGCUGUUGAACGUCCGAACCGUUCUGCCUUCGUCGAUACCCACCGUCGCGGACCAGUUCGCGUGCAAAAGUGUUUUGCACGAUGUCUUUUGUGUAGAUCCUACGGCAACUUCUAUUUAACGUCGAUUGUCAAAGUCUUGUUACAAGAUAUUGGUAAGGAUGAGAUUGUUCGGUAAUAAGGUCUUACAUUUGUAAAUACAUUAAGAUGUGAUGUUGUUUAAUUGGUUGAAUUGAUCUUUGUUCUUGAAGGCGACAUCGGUGAUUUGGAGUUAGUGUCCUUGAGUUACGCCUUAAGCUUUGUUGGAGUUCGAUUCUUUACUCUUGGGGUUUGUUUGUUGAAGUUAGUUCGACUAAGGAAUUUUACAUAAAGAUCCAGGUAAGGGAUUUUCUACUGGACUCAAUUGUGAUUGUGAACUGUAUGUGUGUUGAAUGUAUACUGUGGUUUGACUGAAAAUAUAUAUGAAUGCAUAUGAAUUGAAGUAGACUUAACGUCGAAUGUAUAUCGUGAUUGUCAUGGAACAUAUAUAUAAGUGUGUGUAUGUGGACAGGAAGAAGAUUGUAGAUUGUGUUGGUAUGAGAUGUAGAUAUGAACUUGUGAUUCUCGUUUAGAUUGGGUGUAUGAUUACGCUAAAGUAUGACUGUGUGCUGGAGAACUGAGGGGUGCAUUGACUGUAUAGUGGAUUGACUGAUGUAUUAGCAUACUAUUGACAGACAUAUGACUGUAGUAAAAUAAGUUGACUGUUAGGAUGUUGAAAGAAAGAACUUUGUGACUUGAAGUAACUGAAGGAUGGGUUGAAUGGAAUGAGGGGAUAAAUUGUUAGAUUGUAUUGGGAUGUUUACCUUGUAGGUGUCCCACGGGAUCACCAAUUUAUUGUGCACCUUCGGGAGCAUUUGACUGAUAUGUGUUUCUGCAGAACACUAGACUGAUAUGUACGUCCCUCGGGGCGUUAGACUGAUAUGUACGUCCCUCGGGGCGUUAGACUGAUAUGUACGUCCCUCGGGGCGUUAGACUGAGAUGUGUAUCCUAAGGGAUCACAAGACUUCGACUGUACAGGGUGUCCCAAUAGAACUUUAACAAUUUAUUUUCCCCUGACGAGACCAGUAGAGGGUCUCUUACUGAGUAUUUAAAAUACUCACCCUUCUUAUGUUUAAUUUUCAGGCAAAGGUAAUAAAGGCGGCAAACAGGCGAGGGGCAGGAAGGAAACGUGAUGCCAUAGGAAACGUGUUUUUGCUUCCGCUUAUGGGUUCUUGUGAGGUUUAAAAUGGAUUGAAAUUUAGUUUACAAACGUUUGUUGUAAAUAGUAUUAUUUUAUGUUUUCUUGAAUGUUUAAAAAUCAGGCCUGACUUGAAGAUGUUUUUUUUAAAUUGCUUACGUUUUGUUUUAUAUUAAACAAAGCUUUUAUUUGAAAAAAAAAAAUAAGACUUACUUAGAAAAGUUGGGUCGUUACAGUUGGUAUCAGAGCCUAAGUUUUAGGUUCUGUAGACUGACUUACGAUGUAAGUCUAUGUUUUUGUGUCCCUAUGGCUAACGCGACCCUUCGUCUCUCGUCAGGUAUGCUUUAUGCUUAUAUGUAUGGUUUAUGUAUAUGACCUUGCCUAAGUUAAACUAGAAUUACAUGAAUGUUAUGAUUUAAUGGUGAAGGAUUUAAUGGUGAAAUUUAGGAAAAAUGUUGCCAUGUAGAGGUGUUCAAAGGAGUUGUCGAGUAGUAGAAAAGUAAGACGUUGUUAGCGAAAUUGUCUGUUUUGUGAUUGGAAAUCUAAGAAAAAUAAGUUAUGUAGGUGGUUUUAACGAGGACUAAAUACACGGUCAAGUUUAUACGAAACACAUUAAAUAGUUUUAGAAUGGAGGUAUUGGAAAAGAAACAAGGAAGAUGAGCAUGGUUGUCUUGAUGUGACUUUAAGAAAGAAUUUUGAGUUUCUCGUGAAUGAAAAGUUACUAGUUUGGAGUUUGAAAAUUGGAAUGUAGUUUAACCAUGGGCUAGUUUCAAGUACAAAGAGGUUGGAAUUAUCGUUUCGCUAAAAGUUAUCCCAGCUAUGAAGGUUAGUAAGUUGCUUGACCAGGGUACCUGUUGUAUUUGACUAGUGUGGUAGACACCAGAGAAGUCGAUGUUUCUUUGUUAUUUGAAUCAGUGGUGAAAAAGUAUUAUGAUAUUUUUCUAGAAGAGUUUCUAAGAUUACCGCGCUAAACAGAAAUUGGUCUUGCUAUUGAGAUAGAGUUAGACUCGUUCCUAUAUCUAAAGCUUCAUACAAAAUGGCCCCAACAGAGUUGAAAGAUUUGAAGGUGCAAUUGAAAGAAAUGUUUGACAAGGACUACAUUCGACGAAGUAUGUUAUCUUGGGGUGCACCAAUUUUUGUUUAUUAAGAAGAAAGAUGGGUCGAUGCACUUAUGUUUUGAUUGUAGAAAGUUGAAUAAGGUGUCAGUUAAGAAUAAAUAUUUUUUACCAAUGAAUGAGGAUUUGUUUGAUCAACUGCAAUAAGUCCGUGUUCUUUAAGAUUGAAUUACAUUCAGGUUAUGGCUUGUUGAGGAUUAGAGAACAGUGACAUUCCUAUGGCAGAUUUUCGUUCGUGAUAUGGACAUCAUGAGUUCAUUAUGAUGUCUUUUGAGUUGGCAAAUGCUCAAACAAUGUUUACGACUUGAUGAACAAAGUGUUUAACGAUCUCUUAGACACUUUCGUGAUUGUAUCUAUUGACGAUAUCUUAAUUUAUUCCAAAAUAGAGACAGCGCAUGAGGAGCAUUUAACAUGGUUUUAGAGGCUCUUCGAGUCAACAAAUUGUAUGCAAAGUUUUCAAAAUGUGAGUUUCGGAUGAGGCCAAGUAUCUUUCCAAGCCAUGUGGUAUCUAGAGAUGACAUUUAUGUGGAUCUCAUAAAAGAUUGAAGUCGUUACCAGUUGGCCUCAACCUUUCAUAGUCAGUGAGGUUCGUAGUCUUUUUGGGUUCAGCAGGUUAUUACUAACGGUUUGUAUAAGAAUUUUCUCGUAUAGCUACUCCUUUGACUCAGUUAACUAAGAAAAGGGACUCUGUUUGUUUGGGACAAAGCCUAUGAGGAUAGUGUUUAGGAUCUUAAGCAGAAGCUUGUACAACUCUCGUGCUUACCGUACAUGAUGGUUCAGAAAGUUUCGUAAUUUAUAGUGAUGCUUUUAGGAAAGUUUAAAAGGUAUUAUGAUUCAACAAGUUAAAGUAGUUGCUUGUACUCCUCGUCAGUUGAAGAGUCAUGAGGAAAAUUGUCCAACUUAUGAUAUGGAAUUGACAGUUGUGGUUUUUACAUUAAUGAUUUGAAGACACUAUAUGUAUGAUGAAAAGAUAUAGAUAUUUUCUAACCAAAAGAGUAUAAAAUACUUUUUCACUCAAAAGAAGUUGAGUAUGAGAUAGCAAAGAUGGUUUCAGUUAGUAAAUGACUAUGAUUGUGAGAUUUUGUACCAUCUAGGUAAGGCGAAUGUGGAAGUUGGUGCUCUUCGUAGAAAAGUAUCACAUUUUGACAGCACUUAUUACCAGACAGGUUUCAUUAGACAAAAACCACGAGAGAGCUGAGAUUGUAGUUUUAGUGGGGGAAGUCACCUCAAAGUUAGCUCAGUUGUCAGUACAUCCGAUCUUGAGACAAAGAAUUCUUGUGGUUCAAUUCAUUGAUCCUUAUUUGAUUGAGAAGCAUUGCCUAGUAGAAGUAGGGCAAGUUAAGGAGUUUUCCAUAUCCUUUGAUGAUGAACUUAUGUUUGAGAGAGAAUUAUGUGAGCCAACAGAAAAUGCAAUUAAGACAAGGUUAUUGGUUGAGACUCAUAGUUUCCCAUUUCUCAUGCAUCCAAGUAGCACAAAAAUGUAUCAGGAUCUAAAACGAUUUUAUUGGUGGCGGAAUAUGAAAAGGGAAGUGGCGGAAUUUGUUAGUAAGUGUCUAGUAUGUCAGCAAGUUAAGGCACCUAGACAGAAACCAGCAGGUUUGUUACAACCCUUAAGUGUGCAAGAGUGGAAGUGGGAGAAUGUGUUGAUGGAUUUUAUUUCAGGGCUGCCUAAGACCCUGAAGGGUUUCACAGUGAUUUUGGUUGUCAUAGACAGGCUUACGAAAUCGACACAUUUUGUACCAGGAAAAUCCACUUAUACUGCUAGUAAGUGGGCAGAGUUGUAUUUAACUGAGAUUUGUGAGACUGCAUGGAGUGCCUGUAUCGAUUGUUUCUGAUAGGGGUGCACGGUUUACUUCCAAGUUUUGGAAGGGACUUCAGACUGCUAUGGGUACGAGAUUGGAUUUUAGUACAGCCUUUCAUCCACAGACUGAUGGUCAAACUGAACGUUUGAACCAAGUUUUAGAGGAUAUGCUACGAGCUUGUGUUAUAGAGUUUCCAGGUAGUUGGGACUCUCAUCUACAUUUGAUGGAGUUUGCUUAUAACAACAGUUUCAAGGCUACCAUCGGUAUGGCACCAUUUGAGGCUUUGUAUGGCAAAUGUUGUAGAACCCCUGUUUGUUGGAGUGAGGUUGGUGAACAUAGGUUGAUGGGACCUGAAUUAGUUCGGUCUACUAAUGAGGCUAUUCAAAAGAUUAGAGCACGUAUGCAAACAGCGCAGAGUAGACAGAAGAGUUAUGCAGAUGUACGGCGAAAAGACCUUAAGUUCGAUGUGGGAGAAAAGGUAUUCUUGAAGGUAGCACCUAUGAAGGGUGUUAUGAUUUUUGAGAAGAAAGGGAAGUUAAGUCCUCGUUUUGUUGGACCAUUUGAGAUCUUAGAGAGGGUUGGUGUUGUGGCGUAUCGCUUGGCAUUACCACCAUCACUCUCUGCAGUUCAUAAUGUUUUCCAUGUUUCGAUGUUGAGGAAGUAUGUGGCCGAUACAUCUCAUGUAGUGGACUAUGAACCCUUGGAGAUUGAUG